GCAGCUAUGUCCGAGUGGUUAAGGAGGAUGACUCGAAAUCAUCUGGGUUCUACCCUCGCAGGUUCGAAUCCUGCUGGCUGCG
rfam:Parastrongyloides trichosuri strain KNP genome assembly, scaffold: PTRK_scaffold0000003